rnacentral:sRNA from 1 species
GCCAGGUGUAGUGGCACACACCUGUAAUCCCAGUGGCUUUGGAGGCUGAGGUAGGAGAAUUGCAAGUUCAAAGCCACCCUCAGCAAAAGCGAGGUGCUAAGCAACUGAGUGAGACCCUGUCUCUA